ensembl:lncRNA
CUAAAAUCAGCUUGCAUAUACAAAUUACAUUCAUGUCUUGGAUAGUUUGUGCCUUUAAGGAUCUUCCUGUAGUCACUAAGAAUGCCAUCCCCAAAUCUGCCCACCAUCUACAGCAGAGUUUCCUCUGCAUCUCACAGAUCUCGGCCUUGGAAAAAUCUAGACAGCAGCGAGCCUUCUAAUCAAGUGCCACCUAAUGGUGUGUCAAUAUUUGGUGAUCUCAAAUUUAAAUCCACCAAAUGAGCCUGAUGCCAGAAUCAAACAACUUUAUGAUAAGCUGAAAGCGUGAUGUCUAUUGGUCUGGAACUGGAUGCAUCGUAUCUCCAUGGUAUCCCUGUAUAUAUGUGUGCAUAUAUAUUUGCAGGACUUCAAGAACUCAGGAGGAAAUACCAAAAAAAAGCUUUCGGAAGGAUUUUGAGCAGCAGCAGCAUAUUGAAAUAAAUGUACACAGCAUGGAUAGCUGGAAACAUAUUUAGAUCCCUAUCCAUGUGACCACUUUCCAUCAGAAGAUAGCUGUUUGAAUUGUCAGCUCAAAAGCGCCCACUGCCCAGCAAGGCCAAAUGCCAACACACAAAACAACCCUUCAAACCAGUGAAGUUUAUCUCUAUGCCAAACACAGCUUUGAAAUACAAGUUUAGAUAGAAUGUGAACCGCUGAUGAAGAACUGCUUCAAGGGACUCAGCCCUGUAAAGGGCCAGAGGGGUAAACAUGGUCUUCCAUGUGAAUGAACUGCAGUGGCUGCAUAUUGAUGAGACACAUUCAAGUCUUACCUUCGGUGGUGCAGUCAAAAGUAGACUCUUUCCUUGCUCGGGUAUGAAAGCCUAUCUCUAAACAGUUUUACCAGCUCUGUGGUGCUAGACAAUUGGACAAGUGAAAGAGAGGAUGGUAAUGACUGGACAGUAAGAACAACCCAGUGAGCACAGUUGGAAGUUGGAAAUAUCUCCAGCCUUUGUCCUUCAUUCGUGACCCCCUCAGCCUGGAAACCUUGGCAUAUUGCUAAAGCUCCUCUUAGAGAAAAUAG